UUCUGACCUCGAAUCAGGUGGGACUACCCGCUGAACUUAAGCAUAUCAAUAAGCGGAGGAAAAGAAACUAACAAGGAUUCCCUUAGUAACUGCGAGUGAAGUGGGAUGAGCUCAAAUUUAAAAUCUGGUAGUCUCUGGCUGCCCGAGUUGUAAUCUAGAGAAGUGUUUUCUGUGCUGGACUGUGUUUAAGUUUCCUGGAUAUGGAACAUCAUAGAGGGUGAGAAUCCCGUCUUUGACACAGACUGCCAGUACUCUGUGAUGCACUCUCAACGAGUCGAGUUGUUUGGGAUUGCAGCUCAAAAUGGGAGGUAAAUUCCUUCUAAAGCUAAAUAUUGGCGAGAGACCGAUAGCGAACAAGUACCGUGAGGGAAAGAUGAAAAGCACUUUGG
rnacentral:rRNA from 1 species